AACGAACGCUGGCGGCAGGCCUAACACAUGCAAGUCGAACGCGCGUAGCAACACGCGAGUGGCGCACGAGUGAGUAACACGUGGGAACCAACCCAGAGGUUCGGAAUAACCGCGGGAAACUGCGGCUAAUACCGGAUAUCCCCUACGGGGGAAAGAUUUAUCGCCUCUGGACGGGCCCGCGUCCGAUUAGCUAGUUGGUGAGGUAAUGGCUCACCAAGGCGACGAUCGGUAGCUGGUCUGAGAGGACGACCAGCCACACUGGGACUGAGACACGGCCCAGACUCCUACGGGAGGCAGCAGUGGGGAAUAUUGGACAAUGGGCGCAAGCCUGAUCCAGCGAUGCCGCGUGUGUGAAGAAGGCCU
rnacentral:rRNA from 1 species